GCCGGUGUAGCUCAGUUGGUAGAGCAGCUGACUUGUAAUCAGAAGGUCGGGGGUUCGACUCCUCUCUCCGGCACCA
rnacentral:tRNA from 4 species